UGGGCGAUUGGAAGAAAAGCCUCCCACGGAUGGAAGGGCCCCGGAGAGAACAGAAAGAAAGUGGGCAGCAGCCGCCGCCGCCGCGUCUCGCCGUGCUUUUCUCUGGGAUAAACGCUUACCACUGGCACCUCCAGGCGACCAAGGGGCACUGGGUCUGCUCCCCACCGCAUCCCCGGGUGUGGAGAGAGCAGCUGGGGAGCUGCAUCAGAAUCUCAAAAAAUGGAUGAUGAAUGAAUUUAAUUGGGACAGUGCAUUCUUUUUUGCUGCUUUAAGUGGAGGGGAAGGCGAUGCAAGAUUCAAGGUACAGAAAAGGCACCUCCUCCCCGUGCCGCCCCGCAACACACACGGAAGUUGCUCCCCAAAGCUCUCUUUCUCAGCAGUAUCAGCGAGGAGGCUGGAACUCCUCUGCUUCCAGAAUGACGUCUCCCUGUCCGUCCGCCUGGGCCUGCCACCUCCCGCCCCCACCGCCAGCGCCCGCCCUCCUCCACGUGGUGGAAGCUUGAGCAAACAGUUUAAAGUUUAAAGUCCAGGCCAAAAUGCUUGCGAGGGGAGAGGAGAUGUCACAUACUAAUUCUGCGCAUCGAAUUACACAUGCUAUAUGGAGAGACCCACGGCGGGAGUGAGAGGGGCUUUCGGCUUCCUGGAUCUUACUUGGACAGAAGGUCAACAAUGAAACAACAUGAACAACAGACACAACACUCCACCCAAGCUCUCAGGUGCACAUUCUCCAGGACAGACCACAUGUUAGGCCAUAAAACAAGUCUUAAUGCAUUGAAAAGACUGGUGUCUUCUGCAACCACAAUGGAAUGAAGCUAGG